AGUGUUUUGUUUCAAGGGAUGUUGUCUUCCAUGAAACUUAUUUCACUUUUAAGAAUAAACCUACUUCUGCUUACCCUUCUUCUUCAUCUUUUCCUUCUAUUCCUCCCGCUGAUGAUUUCACUGCCACAGACUUUCCUAUACUUACUUCCCCUGAUUUUCUUGUUCUUCCUUCUACUACUGAUUCUCCUGAACCUGAUUUUUCUGAUGCUGGUCCAUCUUCCCUUCCUUCUUUCAAUCCUGAUCUCCCUACUCCUAUGUUACCUCCUUCACAUCCUCUUCCCACACCUAGA
rnacentral:lncRNA from 1 species